UACGGAGGAUCCAAGCGUUAUCCGGAUUUAUUGGGUUUAAAGGGUGCGUAGGCGGAUUGAUAAGUUAGAGGUGAAAUGUCCGAGCUCAACUCGGGAACUGCCUCUAAUACUGUUGAUCUAGAGAGUAGAUGCGGUAGGCGGAAUGUAUGGUGUAGCGGUGAAAUGCAUAGAUAUAACUUAGAACACCGAUAGCGAAGGCAGCUUACCAGACUGAGUCUGACGCUGAUGCACGAGAGCAUGGGUAGCGAACAGG
rnacentral:rRNA from 1 species